rnacentral:rRNA from 1 species
UUCGCAAUGCCCGAAAGGGUGACGAAGCGACGCCGCGUGAGCGAAGAAGGCCCUAGGGUUGUAAAGCUCUGUCGAGGGUUAUGAAAUAUAGAUGGGUUAAUACCCCAUUUAUUUGACAAAAGCCCAAAAGGAAGCCACGGCUAACUCUGUGCCAGCAGCCGCGGUAAUACAGAGGUGGCGAGCGUUGUUCGGUAUUAUUGGGCGUAAAGAGCACGUAGGUGGUUUUGUAAGUCAGGUGUGAAAGCCUUCUGUUCAAAGGAAGAACGGCGUCUGAAACUGCAGAUCUUGAGUGUAGGAGGGGAGAGUGGAACUUCUGGUGGAGCGGUGAAAUGCGUAGAUAUCAGAAGGAACGUCGGCGGCGAAAGCGACUCUCUGGCCUAUUACUGACACUGAGUGUGCGAAAGUUAGGGGAGCAAACGGGAUUAGAUACCCCGGUAGUCCUAACCGUAAACGAUGGGCACUAAGUAGAGGGGUUUU